ensembl:lncRNA
UUCAAGUACCUGCCAAGUGUCCACACUGACCCUAGAUCAAAGCGCACGUGUCUUGUGUCCCAAGACCUGCAGUGGGAUCAGUGAUGAGGUUUCUGAAGAUGCAGAGGCAGGAGAAGAGGAAAGUACAAAGUUCAGAUUAAAAAAGAAAAGACGCACCGAUGGAAUAAAAGCGCCAGAAAGGGAGUGCGGUUGUAGAUGCAUCAGUUUCUCUUCCCGUCUGAUGCUUCAAAUCACUGAAGGCGCACAGCGUGGAGAUGGUGAUGGAAGGGAGUCAGGUGAGGGAGCACCGCUGUGGUCUGCAUGUCUGUGUCCCGGUAAAGUCCUGUGUUGAAACCUAAGGCAGUGGGAUUGGGAAUGAGGGUGGACCCCUUGUGAUUGAGAUGAGCACCUUUUAUAAAGGAAAGAGGCCCAGAGAGCUUGAGCAUCCCUUCUUGGUCUCAGUCUUUCUAGCCUCAGAACUGCCAGCAAGAAACGUUUGCUGUCCUAACCCUGCUGGUCUGCGGUGGUGUCACAGCAGCACCAACCAGCUGAAACUUGCCCCCUGUACCUUGUGUCCACCAAGCAUGAGACACACAUGCUUUCCUCCUCAUGUCAGGUACUGGCGUCUAUCAUCCCCACUUUACAAAUGAGGAAGCUCAGACCCAGAGAGCAUCCGUGACCUGCCCGGGUAAGCAUGACAUCAGAGCUCUAAUGGACCCACCUGUUCCAAGCUGAUGCACUCACCCUGCAAGGAGCUGCCCAGAAGGCAGCCACUCAGACCAGCUCCUAAAGCACAGGAUUACAGCUGCGUUACUCCCAUGCUGGCUGCUUCCCUUCCAACCAGGGUGAUCGUUUAGCUCCAUGCUACAUUAGUGUGAUUUUAAAUUAUUCGGAACAUACACAUUGUGUAGUGAGAGGUUUCACUUAAUGGAUUAGAGAUUCUGGGAGAAUUGUACAAAGAUCCCCAAAUAUUAAACUAUCUGAUUUAAAACUAUCUGAUUUAUGCUUAUUAUGUAUAUUUCUUCCUUCUGUGAUGCCAUUGAGUAAAGAAAACUGCCAAGUCCUAAAAGAUAAUACCAAAUCAU